CUGGUGGCGAGUGGCGAACGGGUGAGUAAUACAUCGGAACGUGUCCUGUAGUGGGGGAUAGCCCGGCGAAAGCCGGAUUAAUACCGCAUACGAUCUACGGAAGAAAGCGGGGGAUCCUUCGGGACCUCGCGCUAGAGGGGCGGCCGAUGGCAGAUUAGCUAGUUGGUGGGGUAAAGGCCUACCAAGGCGACGAUCUGUAGCUGGUCUGAGAGGACGACCAGCCACACUGGGACUGAGACACGGCCCAGACUCCUACGGGAGGCAGCAGUGGGGAAUUUUGGACAAUGGGGGCAACCCUGAUCCAGCAAUGCCGCGUGUGUGAAGAAGGCCUUCGGGUUGUAAAGCACUUUUGUCCGGAAAGAAAACCUCUUGGUUAAUACCUGAGGGGGAUGACGGUACCGGAAGAAUAAGCACCGGCUAACUACGUGCCAGCAGCCGCGGUAAUACGUA
rnacentral:rRNA from 1 species